UACGAAGGGGGCUAGCGUUGCUCGGAAUCACUGGGCGUAAAGGGUGCGUAGGCGGGUCUUUAAGUCAGGGGUGAAAUCCUGGAGCUCAACUCCAGAACUGCCUUUGAUACUGAAGAUCUUGAGUUCGGGAGAGGUGAGUGGAACUGCGAGUGUAGAGGUGAAAUUCGUAGAUAUUCGCAAGAACACCAGUGGCGAAGGCGGACUUACUGGUCCGGUUCUGACGCUGAGGCGCGAAAGCGUGGGGAGCAAACAGG
rnacentral:rRNA from 1 species